GUGCUCACUUCAGCAGCACACACAUUAACAUUGGAAUGACACAGAGAAGAUUAGCAUGGUCCCUGUGCAAGGAUGACAUGCAAAUUCCUGAAGUGUUCCAUAUUUUU
ensembl:snRNA U6 U6 spliceosomal RNA